rnacentral:lncRNA from 1 species
AAGGGCCUGGUCUGCUGCUGCCCACGUGAAGAAGAGGGGUGAGGUUGGGAGGCCUGCCUUGCUGUCUGUUCUUCUGAGGGGAUACUUGGGGAAGGAGCACCAGAAGCGGACUAACUAGAAGGAUAGCAGAAAUCAGGCUUAAAAAGACAUUAAGGUGUGUCCUCAUCCACUUUGUUCACUGCACUUGGCACCAUAUGACUUCUGGCUCUUCCCCAGAGUCCAAAUGACUGUGAAAGGUAAGUGUUUCGAAUCGACUCAGGACAUCAAGGCAGCCACAACAGUGUGAGUAAAAUCUCACGAAAAAGGACUUCCAGAAUGGUUUCAGAAAGUAGCAAGAACAAUGAAGUAAGUAGCUUUGAAGAAUGUCUUUCAUUGUAAGAAAUUUUUUAAAAAUUUAAGAAUCACCAUAUUUGAUCACAC